GCGGCGGUGUGCCUAAUACAUGCAAGUCGAACGCGUUGGCCCAAUUGAUUGAUGGUGCUUGCACCUGAUUGAUUUUGGUCGCCAACGAGUGGCGGACGGGUGAGUAACACGUAGGUAACCUGCCCAGAAGCGGGGGACAACAUUUGGAAACAGAUGCUAAUACCGCAUAACAGCGUUGUUCGCAUGAACAACGCUUAAAAGAUGGCUUCUCGCUAUCACUUCUGGAUGGACCUGCGGUGCAUUAGCUUGUUGGUGGGGUAACGGCCUACCAAGGCGAUGAUGCAUAGCCGAGUUGAGAGACUGAUCGGCCACAAUGGGACUGAGACACGGCCCAUACUCCUACGGGAGGCAGCAGUAGGGAAUCUUCCACAAUGGGCGCAAGCCUGAUGGAGCAACACCGCGUGAGUGAAGAAGGGUUUCGGCUCGUAAAGCUCUGUUGUUAAAGAAGAACACGUAUGAGAGUAACUGUUCAUACGUUGACGGUAUUUAACCAGAAAGUCACGGCUAACUACGUGCCAGCAGCCGCGGUAAUACGUAGGUGGCAAGCGUUAUCCGGAUUUAUUGGGCGUAAAGAGAGUGCAGGCGGUUUUCUAAGUCUGAUGUGAAAGCCUUCGGCUUAACCGGAGAAGUGCAUCGGAAACUGGAUAACUUGAGUGCAGAAGAGGGUAGUGGAACUCCAUGUGUAGCGGUGGAAUGCGUAGAUAUAUGGAAGAACACCAGUGGCGAAGGCGGCUACCUGGUCUGCAACUGACGCUGAGACUCGAAAGCAUGGGUAGCGAACAGGAUUAGAUACCCUGGUAGUCCAUGCCGUAAACGAUGAGUGCUAGGUGUUGGAGGGUUUCCGCCCUUCAGUGCCGGAGCUAACGCAUUAAGCACUCCGCCUGGGGAGUACGACCGCAAGGUUGAAACUCAAAGGAAUUGACGGGGGCCCGCACAAGCGGUGGAGCAUGUGGUUUAAUUCGAAGCUACGCGAAGAACCUUACCAGGUCUUGACAUCUUGCGCCAACCCUAGAGAUAGGGCGUUUCCUUCGGGAACGCAAAGACAGGUGGUGCAUGGUCGUCGUCAGCUCGUGUCGUGAGAUGUUGGGUUAAGUCCCGCAACGAGCGCAACCCUUGUUACUAGUUGCCAGCAUUAAGUUGGGCACUCUAGUGAGACUGCCGGUGACAAACCGGAGGAAGGUGGGGACGACGUCAGAUCAUCAUGCCCCUUAUGACCUGGGCUACACACGUGCUACAAUGGACGGUACAACGAGUCGCGAACUCGCGAGGGCAAGCAAAUCUCUUAAAACCGUUCUCAGUUCGGACUGCAGGCUGCAACUCGCCUGCACGAAGUCGGAAUCGCUAGUAAUCGCGGAUCAGCAUGCCGCGGUGAAUACGUUCCCGGGCCUUGUACACACCGCCCGUCACACCAUGAGAGUUUGUAACACCCAAAGUCGGUGGGGUAACCUUUUAGGAGCCAGCCGCCUAAGGUGGACAGAUGA
rnacentral:rRNA from 2 species